AGUCACAUGAGUCACGUGACUGAUGACGCGCUCUGACGCAUGCGCAUGAAGUUGCGCUGCAAGACUGCCUGCCGCCACUUUUUGUGUGAUCGUCUCGCAUUUUCGUACUUCGUACGUUUGUGCGCGCAUUUGUAUUUGAUUGAUAUUCGCGACGGAAAUGCAACGCGAUAACGACACGCGACAAGACUGGUUUGAAUUACCAACGAUUGUGCGUUAAUUUCCGGUAUUUUAUUACCGCUCGGACGUGAGUGCAUAUAGCCUUAUUUCGAUAUAGUUCAACCGCGUUUAACCGAAUUAGUAAAUCAUCAAAGCUAUUGGUAUUCUAAUCAUGAUCGCAUGAUAAAUAAAGUGUGUAAAUAAAAGAUGAAGACAACUGCAUUCGAUCCACCAUCUGAAAGGUUUGCGACAAUAAACAAGUCUUGCAUGAAGAUCGUGUGCACAUCAAGCAUUCGGCGAAUCAUCAAUGGCGAAUUUCUCGUUGACCGAGAUCCAAAUAGAAACCCUUGGCAUCCUGCCGUUUGCAACGUGAUUAAUUAGAGUCGCGCUAAACAAGAUGAAUCAAGGUAUGUAAUUUUUAUACAAAUGUCAUAAUCUAAAGAUUGAAAAUGAUGCUAACAGUUUUUGUUAUCAUUUGAAAUUCAUAUAGAAUCUAACGAGAUAAUAAAGAUAUUUGUACACUGUACACCAAAUAUAAAUAGCAAAUAUUUCAAUCUUCUUCUUACAAGAUAGUGGAAAUUUCUGCUAUUCUUGAAUAUAAUAAAUAUAAUACUGGUAAAUAUUUUGGUUUCAAAUUUUCGCAGCUGUAGCCUCGAAAACAUGUAAUAUAGAAUAGAAAGUUCAGGCUUGUUAUUAUAAUGUACGCUUGUCUAAAGCUGUUAUUCAAAUAAGCACGGUGUGUCCAAUAAUGCUUAUUAAAAUUAAUAUUUAAAAUUCUAUCUCACAUUUUUUUCAAAUUUUCUUUACAUAUUUAGUUAAUUACUAUCUAUAAAUAUUUGAUACAAAUAACAUCAACCAUCUAUUGUAAAAUUUCACAACAAAAGAAUUGUUACAUGGUUGUUACAUGGAAUAGAAACAUGGUUGCAUAGAAUUUAUGUAUCGAAUUAUCGAUUGUGCGAGCGUCUGAUAUCUUUCAUUAUCUCUCUUGUAAAAUAUACUCUGAAGAAGUUUUAGUAUCGUAUCCACUGGGACAAUAAGGUAUUAUGUAAAUCUCAAUGUUUCCGAAUCGAUGAAUCGGAAAACUGAUAAACAUUGGACCGGAUGUGCGAUUUAUGUCGUACUCGCUCGUGAACUUUGACGCGACUUUGUAUAAUCAUCUAAAGAAUAACGUCUAAUUAUGUUGACUCCCAUUUAAUUGUGAAUUUAAUACUUAUACACUUUGCUUCUUUCCUUUUUAUCUGUGGCUAACAAAUAAUCGACACAAAAUAGAUAAGAUUGCGUGAUAGUAAAAUUGCAAAAAUCACGACUAUCUUCCGUGAGGAGAAAGUUAAUUAUGUAUAACUCGGUAAUAAUUUUAUAAUUUUAAAAUUGAAGAAAUCAAUUGAAGAUUACUUUGAUAAUGUUAUAUCAACGCUGAAUAGAUUAGACAUGAUAUAUAU